AGGCAUCGGACAAACCCAACGACUCUAAGCCCUGCGGGCAGAACCCGGGCCCGACCGCAAACAGGAUGAGUGGACUCCACAUGGUGGUUCAUGACCAACAGAAAAACUCCAAAGGUUAUGAUUGAUAUGAACCACAUUCACCAGGAAGGAGAGUACAGAAAGAAGGCAAGAAAUAUAAUGAAAAGAGGAGGCUGUAGCAAAAACAAAGCAGCAAAAAUGUGGAAGGUGCCAAUAAAGAUGAAAGAAGGGGAGGAAGAGUAAUAGGGGUGGGGGUAAGGGAAGAGGGGCAACAAGCAAUAUCUGUCACUGUUUCUCUGGCCACCAAGCAGUCAAUGGAAUAAAAGCAUAUAUGGUGUCACAG